UCGUACAGGAAAGGGCAGGGGCGACUCCCCACUCUUCAAAACCCUAGAACUUCACUAAUCUUGCAAAUUGAAGGUCCAAUUCAGUCCAAAAUCGAAAUUUAAGCAUGGAUUAUUAAUCCUCAUCACAAGAGGAUUAAAAGUUUGAUCUCGUCAAGCUAAGUGGGAGCUGGAAAGGAAUGGAUCAAACGGAUCAUGGAUGCGAAGAAUGUUUGCGCGGACGCGACGGUAAAACGGCUUAUGGAAUUUACGUGGCUAUGAAUCAGCAAAUUAUUAAGGCAAGGUAUUAAAACGGGUCAAUACUUUGACCCGCGCCAGGUACGCGUAAAUUUGGUGAAAGAUAUGUGAAUACCUUAAUGUAGAAAAAUGACAUGUGAAAGUAGAGAGUAGGAUUUAAACUUAAAUGAUUAAAUCCUCUCUAACGGGUCAAAAUAAGAACUUGAACGUAAAUGGGUUCUAACUAAGUAAGAAACCCAUGAUUUAUGAUUUAUUUGAUAGGAAAUAUUGAAAUUAUGAUUUUCAUGAGUUUAUAGAGCAAGUAAACAUGUUUGUUUGAUAAAAUCGCGAACGGGUUAAAAUUUGGUAAAAAUGGUAAUAAGCCGAAGACUUAAAAGUCUUAAAUUUUGUUAAUUCGGAUGUUGGAUUUUGACUCCAUAUUAUGAAGGGUCAAAUUACAAUCAUGUAGGAAGAAACGGUGGGUCAAACGGAUAAGCGGUUUGAAAGAUACGAAAGUUUUCGUGCCAAUAAACGGCAAAAUAGGAAAGCUGGAAUGCAGGGGCCACCGUAACUUACGGUGUCACCGUAAGUUACGGUGGAGUUGAAGGCUUUACGGCAGCCCCCUACUGAUUUACGGUAGGGGCAUGUCACACCAGGGGCCACCGUAACUUACGGUGCCACCGUAAGUUACGGUGGAGGCCAGUUGGGAAAUCCAUGUUUUGAGAUCAAGAGUUUAACGUUGGGAAUUCUUUUUCCUUCCAUUAUCAUUACCGGAUUUGUUUAGAUUUAUUUCAAUCCACGUAUGACUAAAGCAUUUCAUGUUUAUGAAAUGUAGGUUCAUUUUGGAUGCCGAGAGACGAUCAAGCUCAUCGAAGAACCGAACACGAUAUAGUUACAUGCUUCCGCACUUUGCCACGUUGUAUAUUUUAAACAACGAAUUCGAUCACGUUUUGUAGAAUAACUUAUGAAUUGUAAAAGUUUUAAUUUACUCGAAAUUU
rnacentral:lncRNA from 1 species